UUAUUGUCUUAUUCACCACAUAUUGUAUUUUACGUAUUUUAUUUAAUAAUUUAAUACUUUAUCAAUCAUAUAAGUACCUAAAUUUACUUAUUACACUUGAAUUAGAUGCUUGGUGAUUACAUUUGUACAAUUUAUUGUUUAAUCAUUUAUACAUAAUACACUAUUUUUGUUCAAAUGUAUACCUAACCAAGGAACACUGGUACUUACUGGAUAAUACAUGAGUUGUUAUACAAUGAAGUGGCAUAAUAUGACAACACAGAAAUAUUGCGAUAUUUCCAUAUUAUUUAAAAUUAGUCAUUACAAUACUCAGCUGGACACUGGGUUUUUCAUGAAAGUCUAUACCUACUCUACAAAUGUUAUAUCAAAAUCUCCACUUUUUAGUUCCUAAACUAAAAGUGAAUAGAAAAUUAUUUAUCUACAUAAUAUGUGAUGAUUCAAAAUCAGUUUCACAUAGGUCAUUUUACCUAAUUUAAAUAUGCCAUAAUGGAAUCAGCUACCUAUGACACACAAUUCAGAAGAUCCUGUAUGUUAAAAUUAUAUUCAUACUGCUAUGUUUAAUUACAUUUUAAAAUGGUAACUGUGAAAAAUAAAAAUAAUUUUUCACAUAUUGGAUUUAAAUAUUUCAACAGACUACAGAACAAAAUAAAAUAUUCAAGACAAUUGCAAAGAAGUGGGAAAAAUGUAGCUGGACUAAGUGCAUACAUAUUACAAAUGAUGUGUAUUGAAACUAAAAAUGUUGUGAAUGUUAAUGUUUUGUACUUUGUAUGAUAUUUUAAUUAAUUUAAAUGAGGUGACAACAUCAAUCAUUACAAAUCAAAAGAUAAAAUAAUGUAUGUUGUGUUUAAUACACACAAUAUAAUAUGUAGAUUGUGUAAAUCAAAUAAAGAAUUUAAAAAAAAAUAAAAUAGGUAUGUGAUUUAUAAUUAUUUUUCAGUUAUUACUUUAACAAUAGUAUAAAUGCUCAAUGUAAAGUAUUUAAAAAAAUAUAAAUGUAUUAUUAUUAAUAUACAUAUAUUUUUUUUAAUGAUAUUAGUAUUACAUUGUAUAAUGAUAAAUACUUAAUUACUUUUGUCAAUGAUUGGUGUUGUCAUUAAAUAAUAAUUAGUACUAAAUUCAAAUAAGAAUAUUAUUAACACCAUUUUUAAAUUUUACUAAGUCUGGGGUGAUUGAAAAGUUUGUUUUAAUUUUUUGAAUACAUGUUUUAUCUUUACUCAUAUUUUGCAUAACUGCAAAACGAACAUUUUGAUUAAACUGUAUCAUCAUUUUGAAAUAGAUUUUUCAUAGUCCUGGGCUUAUUAAAGUAAAAUUGUUUAAUGGUUCACGAUAAUAUCAGUAUAAAAUGUGAGAAAUUCGGUCGUGAACAGGGUUCAGGGCUAAACAGAACCUAAAAUCAUCAAAUCAAACAUUUAAAUAAUCAAAAUUAAGCAAUCUAAAAAAUGGUUAUUCUCUCCCUAGUUUUUGUUAGUGGUUAUCACUUGCAUCAUAUUAAAGUAGAAAAUAUACAUUAAAAAAUUUAAAAUGUGUUAAAAAUAACACUCUAAAAUGUGGGGUGCUAUAAUAUUUCAUAUUUUAAAAACAUUAAAUUGAUGGCAUUUCACUAUAAUAAUGAUAGUUAAAUCUAAAAAAACAAGGGGUGCUAAAUUAGAGCUUGGCGUGCUAAAGACCCUUCUGUGACAAUGGUCUCAAACCCUGUUCAUGACAUUGAGAAUAUGAUUUUUUUUAUAAUUAUUUAAGUUUAUUAGUGCCUUAUGUAUUUGCAUGUAUAUCAUUAUUAUUUAAAUACCUACCUAUUGAUUAAAUUCAUGUGAUUGGUCAAAAAGACCUAGUCCUACCAAGUAUAUUACAACUAUUGAAGUGACCUAU